GGGUUGUGAGGUUAAGCGACUAAGCGUACACGGUGGAUGCCCUGGCAGUCAGAGGCGAUGAAGGGCGUGCUAAUCUGCGAUAAGCGCCGGUAAGGUGAUAUGAACCGUUAUAACCGGCGAUACCCGAAUGGGGAAACCCAGUGUGAUUCGUCACACUAUCAUUAACUGAAUCCAUAGGUUAAUGAAGCGAACCGGGGGAACUGAAACAUCUAAGUACCCCGAGGAAAAGAAAUCAACCGAGAUUCCCCCAGUAGCGGCGAGCGAACGGGGAGGAGCCCAGAGCCUGAAUCAGCAUAUGUGUUAGUGGAAGCGUCUGGAAAGGCGCGCGAUACAGGGUGACAGCCCCGUACACAAAAGCGCAUGUGCUGUGAGCUCGAUGAGUAGGGCGGGACACGUGGUAUCCUGUCUGAAUAUGGGGGGACCAUCCUCCAAGGCUAAAUACUCCUGACUGACCGAUAGUGAACCAGUACCGUGAGGGAAAGGCGAAAAGAACCCCGGCGAGGGGAGUGAAAAAGAACCUGAAACCGUGUACGUACAAGCAGUGGGAGCCCCACCACUAAGCCAGUGGUGAACUCCACAUACGCAUCCUUUGCUGAGGAUACGGUUAACGGAGCGAAAGCGACGUUCAACCUCAAAAGAAGCAGAGGGGGCUUAGUGGUGGGGUGACUGCGUACCUUUUGUAUAAUGGGUCAGCGACUUAUAUUCUGUAGCAAGGUUAACCGAAUAGGGGAGCCGGAGGGAAACCGAGUCUUAAUUGGGCGUUAAGUUGCAGGGUAUAGACCCGAAACCCGGUGAUCUAGCCAUGGGCAGGUUGAAGGUUGGGUAACACUAACUGGAGGACCGAACCGACUAAUGUUGAAAAAUUAGCGGAUGACCUGUGGCUGGGGGUGAAAG
rnacentral:rRNA from 1 species